GAUGAACGCUAGCGGCAGGCCUAACACAUGCAAGUCGAGGGGCAGCAUAGGGUAGCAAUACUCUGAUGGCGACCGGCAAACGGGUGAGUAACGCGUAUGCAACCUACCCUGUACAGGGGGAUAACCCGGAGAAAUUCGGACUAAUAUCCCGUAAUAAUAUCCGGAGGCAUCUUUGGAUAUUUAAAGUUCCGACGGUACGGGAUGGGCAUGCGUAACAUUAACUGGUUGGUAAGGUAACGGCUUACCAAGGCUAUGAUGUUUAGGGGUCCUGAGAGGGUGGUCCCCCACACUGGUACUGAGACACGGACCAGACUCCUACGGGAGGCAGCAGUGAGGAAUAUUGGUCAAUGGGCGCAAGCCUGAACCAGCCAUCCCGCGUGCAGGAAGACGGCCCUAUGGGUUGUAAACUGCUUUUCCAGGGAGAAGAAACUUACGCACGUGUUGCGUGACUGACGGUACCCUGGGAAUAAGGCAUCGGCUAACUCCGUG
rnacentral:rRNA from 1 species